UACGAAGGGGGCUAGCGUUGCUCGGAAUCACUGGGCGUAAAGGGCGCGUAGGCGGCGUUUUAAGUCGGGGGUGAAAGCCUGUGGCUCAACCACAGAAUGGCCUUCGAUACUGGGACGCUUGAGUAUGGUAGAGGUUGGUGGAACUGCGAGUGUAGAGGUGAAAUUCGUAGAUAUUCGCAAGAACACCGGUGGCGAAGGCGGCCACCUGGGCCAAUAUUGACGCUGAGGUGCGAAAGCGUGGGGAGCAAACAGG
rnacentral:rRNA from 1 species